rnacentral:SRP_RNA from 1 species
CGAGCGGGUUCGGACGGCGGCACGUCGCGAACCUGGUCAGGGCCGGAAGGCAGCAGCCAUAAGCGGCCUCUGCCGAGCGUCCGGGCCCGCUCGACG